rnacentral:lncRNA from 1 species
AGAGGGGAGGAGAAGCAAAAUGGCUGCUGACGUAUACCCGAGUUUUAUUUUCCAGCCACAAGUAGCCUUGAUUUCAUAAGAGUUUGUCCCUUUGGACUUUUCUCCUGCCACACUCUGUAUCCAGGGAAAACAAGAGGCGACUUGCCUAGAAACAGCUCUGUCAACAGUGCCCGCCACCUCCACCUCCUCUGCUGGAAACGAAACAGGUAAAAGCAUCAGUGAGCAGCUGGACCUGUCACGUGACCACAGCACCCGGUGGAGACAAGUGGUGACAAUCAGUCACAUAGGGGCAGUGCCCCAAGCCCCUCCACAGGCAGUGAGGCAUCCCUAACAUCUUAGACCAAGCCAGUAGAAAGCAUCUGCUGUCAGACCCCAACCCACCGCAAAAUGUACGUAAGAACCUGUUCAGAAGGAGUAAAGUUGUGAGAAUUACUCCAUCAAGGGUUUUCUGAGAACUUCUGUCUUAUAGGAGCUGUAACACUUCCUGGGGAAGAGAAUUCUCUCUUCCCUUUGCUGCUGGAAGCUGUCCGGGCCAACCAACCACACUCACUGGUUCCUAGCCACACACCCUCCCCCAGGGCUGGCUGUUUUGCAGCAUCUCACAGCUUCCGACCUACUCCAGAGUUGCUUUGGCGGCUUGAGCUGACUGCAGUGCCUAGCUGAGUAACAGCAGCCACAGAAGAGAGCAGCAACUGCCUCAAUCCAACUUCCCUCUCCCUUCGGAGAGUGCAACUCCUUGACUGAUCCAGCUGGGCCAGAGCCUUCCCCCACCCCCAUCUCCGUGGUUAGCAUCCAGUAUACAGACUGGCAAAUAUAUAUAUUUAUCAAGUU